AUGGCCGGUACAGAGGGCAGCGACUUGGUGACAAGUAGCGAAUCUCAAAAAGCCGGUCUCAGUCCGGAUUGGAGUCUGCAACUCGCCUCCAUGAAGUUGGAAUCGCUAGUAAUCGCGGAUCAGCAUGCCGCGGUGAAUACGUUCCCGGGCCUUGUACACACCGCCCGUCACACCACGAAAGUCGGUUGUUCCAGAAGCGGUUGGGCUAACCCGCAAGGGAGGCAGGCUGCCAAGGAAUGAUUGGUAAUUGGGGUGAAGUCGUAACAAGGUAGCCGUAGGGGAACCUGCGGCUGGAUCACCUCCUUU
rnacentral:ncRNA from 1 species